GCAGCGUCUGCAGGCACAUAUUCUCAAGAGCUUCGUCAGCGUGAUUGCGCGACAACAAGAAGAUCUGGGGGAGUUGGGGAAGCAUCCAACGCCAGUGUUGGAGCGGAAUCUUUCGGACAUCGGCCACGGUCUCCUUACGCAAGCCAGCCAUUUGGCGGUAGCUUAUUCGGGAGCUCACGGCAGAGGGCAGACGACAUCUUUGUCUUACCUGUUCAACGUCACCCUUUUUUAUUUUUCUGGAACACGGUUGCUGACGCUGGUCGAUAAGGCCGGUUCAGGCAUUCCAACGGGGAGCUCCUUUUGUCCCCCUCCCCAGGUUCAGAUUUUCAGUGUACUGCGCGUGCGCUGGAAAGCACCUAGACUGAAUCAACAGGCUACGACUGCGCGUGGCAUUUACAAGUGGCCACAGUUCACAUUUCGCAUUGUUUAUGUUCUUCAGUCGACAUACCUUGUUCUGGUAUUUAUCGGUGGAUGUCACCUAUGCAGGUUCAGGUAACGGAUUCAGAAUCCUCAACUGACAAGGGCGAAGGAUACAGCAGCUGGCCAAGAUGACCGCCGGUUUCCAGCUCGGUGUGAUUGAGUCGCUCGCGCUCUCCGUUGCAUCGUCGGUUGCCAUUGUCAUCUGCAACAAAGCGCUCAUCAGCACCCUAGGGUUUCCAUUUGCUACAACAUUGACAAGCUGGCAUCUCAUGGUGACCUUCUGCACCCUUCACGUUGCGCAGCGCUUGCGCUUUUUCGAGGCAAAGGCAAUUGAUGGACAGACGGUGGUUUUGUUCGGGUUGCUGAAUGGAACCUCAAUUGGCCUUCUCAAUCUUAGUUUAGGAUUCAAUUCCAUCGGAUUCUACCAGAUGACAAAGCUGGCCAUAAUACCCUUCACAGUGCUGUUGGAGACUAUAUUCCUGAAGAAAAGAUUUAGUGAGACUAUCAAGUUCUCCCUACUGAUCUUGCUACUUGGAGUUGGCAUUGCUUCAGUCACCGACCUCAAGCUAAAUUUUCUUGGGUCUAUCCUUUCCGGCCUCGCCAUCGCCACGACUUGUGUUGGCCAAAUUCUCACAAACACAAUACAGAGGAAGCUGAAGGUCUCCUCGACGCAGCUCCUGUACCAGUCUGCGCCUUACCAAUCAGCCAUCCUGUUCACCACCGGCCCCUUCGUGGAUCAGCUCCUCACCAGCCGCAGCGUCUUCGCCCACAAAUACACCUUCCCGGUCGUGGGCUUCAUCGUGCUUUCGUGCCUGAUCGCGGUGUCGGUGAACUUCAGCACGUUCCUGGUGAUCGGGACGACGUCGCCGGUGACGUACCAGGUGCUGGGGCACCUCAAGACGUGCCUGGUGCUGUCGUUCGGGUACACGCUGCUGCGCGACCCCUUCACCGCACGCAACAUCCUGGGCAUCCUCGUCGCCAUCUUCGGGAUGGCGCUCUACUCCUACUUCUCGGUGCGCGAGGGCAGGAAGAAGGCCGCGGGCGACGCCCUCCCGGUGUCACAGAUGCCGGACAAGGAGACGGAGCCGCUGCUGGCGUCGGCGGCCAAGGACGGCGGCGACGCCAAGAAGGCCAACGGCGUAGCUCACGACUGCUAGACGUGCCUUUCUCUCGUUUGUUAUAGCUUAGCCCAGUUCUAGUGUCGCUACGCACACUGUUCUGAAUCCGAGGCCGCACCGCUCAUCAGCAGAAUGGCUUUGGCUAUGCCUCUUCUGCGAGGAAUUUCGCUGCGCUUAGUCGCUUCUCAGGGAGGCGGCCGCACGAG